rnacentral:rRNA from 1 species
CGGGCCUGCGAGUUACCGUACGUAGCAAGGUUAAGCCGUCAGGUGGAGCCGAAGCGAAAGCGAGUCCUAACAGGGCGACGAGUUGCGUGCGGUAGACCCGAAACCUUAGCGAUCUAUCCAUGGCCAGGUUGAAGAGCGGGUAACACCGCUUGGAGGACCGAACUCACUUAAGUUGAAAAUUAAGGGGAUGAGCUGUGGAUAGGAGUGAAAGGCUAAUCAAGCUGGGAUAUAGCUGGUUCUCCUCGAAAUAUAUUGAGGUAUAGCCUCGGACGAAUUGCGCCGGAGGUAGAGCACUGAAUGGGCUAGGGGUCCUACCAGAUUACCAAACCCAAUCAAACUCCGAAUGCCGGCGACAAGUAUCCGGGAGUCAGGCUGCGGGAGAUAAGUUCCGUAGCCAAAAGGGAAAGAGCCCAGAUCGGCAGCUAAGGUCCCAAAGUCUGAGCUAAGUGUCAAAGGAUGUGGAAGCGCUUAGACAACUAGGAGGUUGGCUUAGAAGCAGCCAUCCUUUAAAGAAAGCGUAAUAGCUCACUAGUCAAGCGAGUCCGCGCCGAAAAUAUAACGGGGCUAAGCUCAGCACCGAAGCUCCGGGCUCUCGCAAGAGAGCGGUAGAGGAGUAUUCUCAGGCAGAUACACGCUGGACGGUAACGACCAGUCACGGGCCUGAGAAGUGCUUAUGCAGGCAUGAGUAGCGAUAAACCGAGCGAGAAACUCGGUCGCCGUAAGCCCAAGGUUUCCUGGGGAAGGAUAAUCCUCCCAUGGGUUAGUCGGAUCCUAAGCCGAGGCCGAGAGGCGUAGGUGAUGGAAGGCAGGUUAAUAUUCCUGCACCACCAAGGACGGCGUUGACGUAAGCGGGGACGGAGUAGGGUAGGUCGAGCACGGGCAACCGUGUCCAAGCCAGUAGGGUGUUUCGUGAGGACCCGAUAGGGACAAACCACGAGCAUUAGCCCGAGAGGUGAUGGAGGCUGGCAUUUGCUGGCAGAAUUCGAUGAUCCCAGACUUCCAAGAAAAGCCGCGUACUGAGCCCCUUUGGUGUCCGUACCGCAAACCGACUCAGGUGGGCGGGGUGAGAAUCCCAAGGCGCGUGAGAGAACCCAGGCUAAGGAACUCGGCAAAAUGACACCGUAACUUCGGGAGAAGGUGUGCCGCGGCGCGUGAAGAGACUUGCUCUCCGAGCGUUCUGCGGUCGCAGAGAAAUGGGGGUUGUGACUGUUUACUAAAAACACAGGACUCUGCGAAGUCGCAAGACGACGUAUAGGGUCUGAUGCCUGCCCGGUGCUGGAAGGUUAAGGGGAAGAGUCAGCGCAAGCGAAGCUCUGAACCGAAGCCCCAGUAAACGGCGGCCGUAACGAUAACGGUCCUAAGGUAGCGAAAUUCCUUGUCGGGUAAGUUCCGACCUGCACGAAUGGCAUAACAACAUCCCCGCUGUCUCGGCCUGGGACUCAGCGAAAUUCUAA